UACGUAGGUGGCAAGCGUUGUCCGGAUUUACUGGGCGUAAAGGGCGUGCAGGCGGUCUGUUAAGUCUAGGGUGAAAGCUCCCGGCUCAACUGGGAGAGGUCCUUGGAUACUGGCGGACUUGAGGGAGGCAGAGGAAAGUGGAAUUCCCGGUGUAGUGGUGAUAUGCGUAGAUAUCGAGAGGAACACCUGCGGCGAAGGCGGGUUGCUGGGCUGACACUGACGCUGAGGCGCGAAAGCUAGGGGAGCGAACGGG
rnacentral:rRNA from 1 species